AUUUUAAGCAGAAGAAGAAGAAGCACUGGACACUAUGCUCAACUGUUGCUGUAAGGAGAAAAAAUAUUGCAGCUAAGAGUGGUGAGAGUCGGAACAAAAUGCCUCAGGAGCAGGAAACUAUUACGUCAAGGUGGUUAAUGGAAUACCACAAACACACAAAAGUCCUUGAUCACAUGAACUGUUUCAUUCAUCCCUGUCUCCAUGCGUAUGUUCUAUGAGACUGUCGAAGAAUAGAGUAUCCAGUUUCCAGGACUAAUGUUUGUGAAAAUUCCAGGCACACAGACCAGCCAGAGGCUCGGUCUGUGCCAUGAUUCAUAGGUGUUAUGAGUUUGUGGUGUCUAAUACUAUAUUAAGCUCC